AGGCUUGUAGCUCAAUUGGUAGAGCAGCGGUCUCCAAAACCGCAGGUUGGGGGUUCGAGACCCUCCGAGCCUG
rnacentral:tRNA from 1 species